AUAGUGCUUUCUUUCGGGACAGAGGAGACAGGUGGUGCAUGGUUGUCGUCAGCUCGUGUCGUGAGAUGUUGGGUUAAGUCCCGCAACGAGCGCAACCCUUGAUCUUAGUUGCCAGCAUUUCGGAUGGGCACUCUAAGGUGACUGCCGGUGACAAACCGGAGGAAGGUGGGGAUGACGUCAAAUCAUCAUGCCCCUUAUGACCUGGGGUACACACGUACUACAAUGGCCAGUACAACGGGAAGCGAACUCGCGAGAGGGAGCCAAUCCUAUCAAAGCUGGUCUCAGUUCGGAUUGCAGGCUGCAACUCGCCUGCAUGAAGUCGGAAUUGCUAGUAAUCGCGGAUCAGCAUGCCGCGGUGAAUACGUUCCCGGGUCUUGUACACACCGCCCGUCACACCACGAGAGUUUACAACACCCGAAGUCGGUGGGGUAACCCGCAAGGAGCCAGCCGCCGAAGUGGGAGUUGCACUGGACCA
rnacentral:rRNA from 1 species